rnacentral:misc_RNA from 1 species
AUAACAUUCACAUGUUCCUUCCACUUGCUUCCUUUUUCUUCUUCACUACUACAUAACUUCUCUAGCUACCCUAAAAUUGUCACAAUCCUUAAUUUCUGUUUCUAUCAAUUUUGGAUUUUUUUUCUCAUCGGCAGAUAUGUCGAAUUUAUGUGACGCUCGCCGGAGGAAUGGAAACGGCAAGGCGCCGGAGAGAUCAAGUUUCGUACAGACUUGUAACUUGUUGAGUCAGUUUAUUAAAGGGAAAGCUACUAUUAGAGAUCUGAAUCUCGGAAUCGCCGGUCAGCCGGAAGCUGCAGGGAAAACUGAAACUGCAACUAUGGAUUUAUUAACAGUCAUGGAAAAACCAUCUAUUGAUCUAACAAAAGAAGAACACAAAUCCGUAGAUCUUGUUACAACAGAGUCUUCUAGAGAGAAGGAGGCCGCUGUAAAUGAGCCCAGCACAAGCAAAGAGGCACCAAAGGAGCCUAAGGCAGCCCAAUUGACUAUGUUCUAUGAUGGUAAAGUGAUUGUUUUUGAUGAUUUCCCUGCUGACAAAGCUAGAGCAGUGAUGUUAUUGGCUAGUAAAGGAUGUCCUCAGAGUUCAUUUGGGACUUUCCAGGCUAUAAACAUCGACAAAAUUAACACAUGUUCUCCUGCCCCUGCUUCUUUGACAAGUAAUAGAACUGAUUCUGUUGCACCACAGCAACAACACCUCCAGAUUAAGCCAGACUCUUGCUCUGCUGCACCGCAACAGCACAAGCACAAUUCGCCCCCACUCCAUGUUUGUAGUAGUACUAAAACUGAUCAGCUUAAGCUCGGAUCAGUUUCAUCUGCACCCUUAGUAGAGCAGGAGCAACACAAGCAAAUCCAGUCACAGGCUGCCGAAAUUAGCAGCAGCUCCGAGCUACCUAUCGCAAGAAGAUCUUCACUUCAUAGGUUUCUCGAGAAGAGGAAAGAUAGGGCAACUGUUAGAGCUCCAUACCAAGUUGUACGUAACAAUCCGUUGUUACCAUCUUCUUCGAAUACUAAUGGUGAAUCAUCUUCUAAGGAUAGCGAAGAUCAGCUCGAUCUCAAUUUCAAGUUAUAGCCAGAACUCCACUCUCGCAGUUGGAAUUCCAUAAGCUUUUUUUUGGUUGACCACCACUGCAUGAGCUAGUAGUAUUAAUAUAUAUUUAGAUCAGUGAUUUGAAGAUUAUUUUUCCAGCUCAGCUUAGCUUA